UGCGAGUCCGAGCGGACAGAUGGGAGCUUGCUCCCUGAUGUUAGCGGCGGACGGGUGAGUAACACGUGGGUAACCUGCCUGUAAGACUGGGAUAACUCCGGGAAACCGGGGCUAAUACCGGAUGCUUGUUUGAACCGCAUGGUUCAAACAUAAAAGGUGGCUUCGGCUACCACUUACAGAUGGACCCGCGGCGCAUUAGCUAGUUGGUGAGGUAAUGGCUCACCAAGGCGACGAUGCGUAGCCGACCUGAGAGGGUGAUCGGCCACACUGGGACUGAGACACGGCCCAGACUCCUACGGGAGGCAGCAGUAGGGAAUCUUCCGCAAUGGACGAAAGUCUGACGGAGCAACGCCGCGUGAGUGAUGAAGGUUUUCGGAUCGUAAAGCUCUGUUGUUAGGGAAGAACAAGUACCGUUCGAAUAGGGCGGUACCUUGACGGUACCUAACCAGAAAGCCACGGCUAACUACGUGCCAGCAGCCGCGGUAAUACGUAGGUGGCAAGCGUUGUCCGGAAUUAUUGGGCGUAAAGGGCUCGCAGGCGGUUUCUUAAGUCUGAUGUGAAAGCCCCCGGCUCAACCGGGGAGGGUCAUUGGAAACUGGGGAACUUGAGUGCAGAAGAGGAGAGUGGAAUUCCACGUGUAGCGGUGAAAUGCGUAGAGAUGUGGAGGAACACCAGUGGCGAAGGCGACUCUCUGGUCUGUAACUGACGCUGAGGAGCGAAAGCGUGGGGAGCGAACAGGAUUAGAUACCCUGGUAGUCCACGCCGUAAACGAUGAGUGCUAAGUGUUAGGGGUUUCCGCCCCUUAGUGCUGCAGCUAACGCAUUAAGCACUCCGCCUGGGGGAGUACGGUCGCAAGACUGAAACUC
rnacentral:rRNA from 1 species